rnacentral:rRNA from 1 species
AUUGAACGCUGGCGGCAGGCUUAACACAUGCAAGUCGAGCGGGGAGAUGUAGCUUGCUACAUAUCCUAGCGGCGGACGGGUGAGUAAUGCUUAGGAAUCUGCCUAUUAGUGGGGGACAACAUUCCGAAAGGAAUGCUAAUACCGCAUACGCCCUACGGGGGAAAGCAGGGGAUCUUCGGACCUUGCGCUAAUAGAUGAGCCUAAGUCGGAUUAGCCAGUUGGUGGGGUAAAGGCCUACCAAGGCGACGAUCUGUAGCGGGUCUGAGAGGAUGAUCCGCCACACUGGGACUGAGACACGGCCCAGACUCCUACGGGAGGCAGCAGUGGGGAAUAUUGGACAAUGGGCGCAAGCCUGAUCCAGCCAUGCCGCGUGUGUGAAGAAGGCCUUUUGGUUGUAAAGCACUUUAAGCGAGGAGGAGGCUCCUUUAGUUAAUACCUAAAGAGAGUGGACGUUACUCGCAGAAUAAGCACCGGCUAACUCUGUG